UACGGAGGGGGCUAGCGUUGUUCGGAAUCACUGGGCGUAAAGCGCACGUAGGCGGGUUGUUAAGUCGGGGGUGAAAUCCUGGAGCUCAACUCCAGAACUGCCUUCGAUACUGGCGACCUUGAGUCCGGGAGAGGUGAGUGGAACUCCGAGUGUAGAGGUGAAAUUCGUAGAUAUUCGGAAGAACACCAGUGGCGAAGGCGGCUCACUGGCCCGGUACUGACGCUGAGGUGCGAAAGCGUGGGGAGCAAACAGG
rnacentral:rRNA from 1 species